rnacentral:rRNA from 1 species
AUGCUUGGCCAGAUGGCCCAUGGUAUUAGUUCGUACACUGAUCAUUUAACUGCAACCAGCAUCCAAUACCAUGUUGACGCACUUAAAGAAGGGUUUUCUAUUUUGGGUGGUAAGACUUUCCCAUUUAUGGACAAUGACGAGUAUGCAAGUUUUGUCGAUAUCACACACUUCAAAAUAUUGGAUGUCGUAAAAGUGGCGCGCAGUCUUGUAAAAGAAUUGCUGCCUAAAAGACUGGACGAUCCACAUUAUUCGCUCCGAUCUGUGGAACGGACUCUUAUGUAUGGAGAGCUGCCACUGACACCGUAUCUGAGGCGUCUUGACCUGUCAGAAGGAUGUGCUUAG